rnacentral:rRNA from 1 species
UACGUAGGUGGCAAGCGUUGUCCGGAUUUACUGGGUGUAAAGGGCGUGCAGCCGGAGAGGCAAGUCAGAUGUGAAAUCCGCGGGCUCAACCCGCGAACUGCAUUUGAAACUGCUUCCCUUGAGUAUCGGAGAGGUAACCGGAAUUCCUAGUGUAGCGGUGAAAUGCGUAGAUAUCACGCAGAACUCCGAUUGCGAAGGCAGCAUACCGGCGCCCAACUGACGCUGAAGCACGAAAGCGUGGGUAUCGAACAGG